UUUCUUUUCUCUCUCUCUUUCUCUCUUUUUUUUUUUUUUUUCAGUAAGUGAGCUUCCCCAGGGGGUUCUGAUGAGGGACCUGUCUUGGUUACUGACCCUGAAAAGCGGUGUUCAGCCAGACCCUUUGGCCUUUGAGGUCUGUUUACUAUGGUUGGAACAAGUGGUCAGGAAGGAACAGUGUAUCAGGUUGUGCUUGCUUUUCUGGAUUUGCUUAAGUGGUUUUUAAAAAUAGAUGUUACGCAAAUAUAACAGAUUAUGCCUAACUUGGGAUAGUGGGAGCCUACUGCACCCCUGGAGAUUGGUGCAUUUCAACCAGUGUCCCAUCUUGUGUGCAGAUGAAGGAAUAGAGAUCUCUUGUCUAAUCUGAAUAUUCGGCAGCACCUGCAGUUUUCCAGGUAGGCCUUGCUGCAGGUCUUCAGGUUGUUCUGUCUGCUUGUUUUUCCCUGUUCAGUUCUUGAUACUAGUCAGACCUGGUCUGUAUCCGAAUCCCCAUGACGCAGAGCCAGUCAGCCUGGAACUGCGCUGUUUGUGUGCUCAGGUCCUGAACCAAGUGUACAGGUACAUGCCCCUUGCAUAUAACCUGCCUCAUUAUUCAGUUCUCCCACAGGUCUGGGCCACUCUUAAGACUGUGACCCUUUGAUUUGGGGCCAAGAUUUCCUUCCUAGCUCUUGCCAUUCUCUCUCCCAGGAGCUAGAUCCUGACCGAAUAGCUGUUAUCUGGGCUUCAACCAGUCCUGUGUGUCAUGAGCUUAUGAAUAUUGUUCAUUCAUUUAUUAUUUGUUGGUUUUUUUUUUUUUUUUAAUAGCAGCUUCCUUUUUUUUAUUCUUCUUUUUAGGGCUACACCUGCAGCAUAUGCAGUUCUUGAGCUAGGGGUCAAAUCAGAGCUGCAGCUGCCAGCCUAUGCCACAGCCACAGCUGCACCGGAUCCUUAACCCACUGUGCAAGGCCAGGGAUCAAAUCUGCAUCCUCACAGACACUGUGUCGGGUUCUUAACCUGCUGAGCCACAAUGGGAGCUUCCCAUUAUUUGUUUUUGUAAAUAUUUAUAUAAAUAUUUAUCAAUCACUUAGUAUGUGUCUUACCCCCUCUUCAGUGCUGAAAAUGUAGAGGGGAACAAAAUGGUGUAACCCUUGUUCUCAGAGAGUUUAGAUUCUAGUGGGGAAGAAAGAUAUUAAGCCAAUAACCAGACAAGUAAAUAUCCAGUUACAAACUGUGAUAAAUCCUAUGAUGGAUGAGAACUAAAUUCUCAGAAGAAGUAGCAGGCAGGAUCUAAUUUGGAUUGGGUGGGGGUGAGGAAAGUUCUCCCAGAGUUAGCCAAGUGAGGACGAUGAGAAAGGUGAGCAAAUGCAGGUGAAAGGUCUCAGAGGUGGCACUGAGCUUGGCCUCUUUAAUGACUUCCACAGUGGCCAGUGAGAUGAGAGCACUGAUGGCCAACCCUGACUGUGUGAGCAUCCAGUGGCUGCCAUAACUAAUCCUUGCAAACAUACGGCCUGCAACAACAGGACUUACUUUCUCAUAGAUCUGGAGGCCACAAGUACAAAAGAAUAUCCCCGGGCUAAAAUCCAGGGCAGUGCUCCUUCCAGAGGCUUGAGGAGAGCCUUGCUGUUCCAGCCGUUCUUUACUGUUACAGCUUUCGGUGGCUGCCCACAUUCCUUGGCUUGUGGCCACGGCACUCCAGAUCUUCAGAUCUCUCUCUGCUCUACCUUCAUGUCACCUUUUCUGCUGUGUUUCUCAAAUCUCCCUCUGCCUCUCUUGUAUAAGGACAACUGUGACUGUAUUUGGAGCCCACCCAAAUAAUGUAGGGGAAUCUUCCUAACUCCAGAUCCUUAAUCAUAUUAGCAAAAUCCUUUUUUUUUUUUUUUCAUAUCAGGAAACAUCUAUAGGUUUCAGGGAUUAGGACCUGAUAUCUUUGGGGGCCAUUAUUCAGCCCAUUACUCUGGAUUGCUUUAGUAAUCCCUGGAGGAACUUUUAUUUUUAUUUUUAAAAUUUUUUUACUUAUUUUUUCGCUUUGUAGGGCCAUACCCCUGGCAUAUAGAAGCUCCCAGGCUAAGGGUCGACUCAAAGCUACAGCUGCAACGCGGGAUCCGAGGUGCAACCUACACCACAGCUGAUGGCAACACCAGAUCCUUAACCCCCUGAGCAAGGCCAGGGAUCAAACCCGUAUCCUCAUGGAUGUUAAUCGGGUUCGUUAACUGCUGGGAGCUCCCCUGGAGGAGCUUUUAAAUCUGCAUCGCCCACGCUCCACCUUACAUCACUUAAAUCAGAAUCUCUCUGUGAGGCUGGGGCAUGGAUAUUUUUAAAAGCCUCCCCAGGCGAUUCUGAAACAACUGCUAGACUCUGUGGCAGAUAACGUCUGGCCUAGAGCAUGAUGAAGGAAGAGCAGGUGUAGUAACAGGCAGGAUGUCAUCACAAUUUGGACACUUCUCCUGCUUUUAACCUGAUGGGACCUGUUGGCCAUCAAUGCCGACUGAAGGAAGCCCUCGCUGAAUGGACCUCUUGGGAAGGUUUUGUGGUUUAACUUCACUGGGAGCAUCUUGGCCCUGCUUCCUUCCAUUCCUGCUUCUUCUUUGCCAUCCAUCUGACGCUGAGGUCUUGGAGCACGUGAUGCCUCAGUCUGCCCAAGUUCUAAAGACGGCAUAGAGCUUACAAGUGAGGGGGCUCAAACGUCGCUCAUACUUUGCAGGCCUCACACAGAUAGAGCUCACACAAAUACAGCUGGGCGCUCCAGAGCUGUAAGCCCAAGUCUGAAGAUACCUUUGUAAAUUUGUAGGAAAAAAACAAAACCAAACAACUAAGGUUUGAACUACAAACAACCUUAGAGGCAGGCCCAGAACUGAGGAAGCAUGUCAGAGCCUCCAGAACUCAUGACUUGUUUUAGCCGUAGAGAGGGGAUAUUUUUCCUUUCUCACUGGACCCACUUAUCUAUGAAGAUGCUGGUGUUUUUCAGUGAAUGUAUUUGGGGAAAAUGGUAAUUGGGUCUAUCAAGAUCCCUGUGUUGAUGUGCAGCUUUGGCCCUAAGGACAAACGUAGACUCGGAACCACAUAGGCUUGUCACCUGGGAGCUACGAGGAUGACCAGGGAAUGUGCUAAGAAUUUGAUUGUCUGAGAACAAGAACCAAUUUAGGGAGUUCCUCAGUAGCUAUUUGCUAGUAGAUCAGUGUUUUCAAAACCCAGUUAGAAAGUCCCAAGCCCCACUCACCCCUGGACCACUAAUAUCAGGGAAGCCAUCUUUGCUUUUACAAAUCACUGAAUUGUCUCUGGGGAGGCAAAGAGGCAAUGAUCUCUUGGGGGCUGCUGUCUUUUUUACGGUCAUCAGAUCUUGUCAUGGGCUCCAGCCACAGGGGAAUGUUGGUAACACCUGGAAAAGGGAGGGUUGUCUCUUUAAGUACUGGGAAUGUUUAACUGGAAAUCCUUUGUGGAUGGGUCCAAGAUCUGUAUAGCCUCUGUCCUUCUGAUGUGGAAUGCCUCCCUAGCACAGGGCCCCAAUUGGUCUCCUGCUCUUUGUUGCCAACAACCAUCUCAGCUUGGGCCAGACGUCAUGAAAAGAUCCAGUAACAGCAUGAUGCUUCAUGUGGGGGGUCCUUCCGUGGUCUUCCUCUUUGUAGCUACCCUCUUGUCUCCAGCAUCACUUGCACCCCAUUUUCUCCUAUCACAAUGCAAAUAUGAACUGUGUCUGUUUAUUAGUGGGUUUCCUUCGGAGUACUCUUUCAGUUUAGGGAGGCUGGGGGGGGGCAUUCUUUUCUGAAUUUUUAGUGUUGCAUAUGCUCAAUGCUCAAAGAAAGGUUUGACUUUCUGGUGGGCUCCCUUUCUGAACCUCUUUUUAAAGCUUCCUGUUGGACAUACCCUUUCUUUUCCAAAAUGGCAGUUUCGUGUCCUGUGAGACAGGAAAUGCCUUUUCUCUUGAUUGCCCCUUUUCAGUGGAAAUCUAUCACAAAGGCAAUCACAAAGAAUUCUUUCCUGCUAAGAAGUUGGGUGCUCCAGUCAUACCUGUCUUAUCUAGAAAGUGGUUCAAUUAUUUUCAUCUCUGACAAAAUGAUGAACUUCAGAGGAUUUGCCCAAGGAGAGAGGGUGGAAGGGUUGGCAUGGCUAGCUUCACUACCCUCAUGUGGAGUCAGAAACCUGAAAACAGCCUCGCUCUCAAGCAUGCAUUCCCCUCUUUGUCCGGGGAGUAACGAUGGCUGAGGCGUUGGCAUGCAGAUACUUGCAGAGUGAAAAUGGAUACACUUCCCCAGCUCCUCAUCCCUGGCCUGGAGGACAGCCUGCCAGCCGUGCAUGCAUGUUGGUUUGGCACUGAGACAAAUGUUCCCUGGAGCAUAGACUGAAACCACCAAACUGAUAUCACAGGGGACACCGGCCAAAUCCUGACCUCGCUCUCUGCAGGUGAGAGGCUGUGGAAUUAACCUGUGAUGCUCUCCGGCUCCCGCCUGGUGGGUGGUCUGGAUUUGUUUUCUUUUUCUUUUUUUUUCUUUUUAAUGCCACAUUUGAAUCUCCUUGCUCUCCCCACCCGACUGGUAUCUACCAGCCACAGAGCCACUCUGCCGGUCUUGGCUUGGGAACAGUGGGCAGUGACUUGGCUCCAAGAAAUGGGCAAACCACACGAUUUCUUCUUGCCCCUUGAGAGGGAAGGGCCACUCAUGGGCUGUUCCAGCCUCGAGCCCGGGUGGCAGGGCCCUCGGGCUGGCAUCGCUGGCAUCUGUGGUCGCGGUCUGCUCCUUUUGCGUCCCUCUCUUCCGCAUUUUUCCUCCCACCGUUCCAACUUCUCCCAUCUCCCCCCCGCCUUUUUUGUUUCCAACCCUUAUUUAUUCAGAGCUUCCAAUAUUCUAAGUUUUUCAUGAAUCCAGGGCUUUAAUUUAGCAUGUGGGGUGCUGGCGCUUCCAGCGAGCUGCUUGGGUCAUUAUUUCCAACGUGAAGGAAUAAAGAGGCAGCAGGGUGCAGUGGACAGCAUGGGGGCUGGACGCCAGAAGGCCCCGUGCUAGUCCCUGUCUUGCAUCUAAGCAGCUCUGGAACCCUGGCCGGCCUCGCCCUGGCUGCCAGGCUCAGUUUCCUCCCCAGAGGGAUGGGGAAUCGGGGCGAGAUGAUUUCUAAGGCUCGUCUCAUUCUGUGAUUCUGUGGAGCUCACUGGCCACGUGAAAUCCACAUUGGGUUGUGCCAGUGUCACUUUCCUUUGUGUUUUGAAAAACUAUAUUGUUACGAGGAUGAAUGAGGAGAUGUGAGCAGAGUCCCUAAGCUCGAUGUCUCCAACGCAGAAGACCAAGGGGAAAACCUUCCUGGAAAUCACUUUCCAGGGGCCAUAGAUUU
rnacentral:lncRNA from 1 species